AUGGCGGCGGCGGCGGCCCGCGGGCGGGGGACGGGGACGCCCGGCGGUCGCGCCGGGGCCGGCAGCGGGCCGAGCACGCGCUCACGCGGGACGGAGGCGGGGCGCCGGGCCAGAGCCCGAACCCCUCCCCGCCACCGGGGAGACGCGCGCGGGGCCGCGGACGGCCAACGGCGAGCGGCCGCCGGGGACCCGACCCACGCCCGGGGCACGCGCGCGCCAGGGCGGGGACGCGGCCGGCGGGGGUGGGGGGCGGCGGGAGACGACGGCGGCCCCUCGUCACCACACAACGCCACCGCCGGGGGGCGGGGGCGAGCGGCGGACGCGGGCGGGAAGGCCGCAGCGGGCCCGGGAAGCGCCGGGCGCCCCGGGGAGCGCGGCACCGGGUCGGCAAGACGGACGACGGACGGGGGCGGACUUUCGGGAAAGGCCGCGGACGGGAGACGCCCCGGCGGCCAGGGGCCAGCCAGGCGCCGGAGAACGGCGAGCGGGAGCGGUGGAGGAGAGGACCGCGGGCCACCGCGAGGGGCUUUCGGGAAGCCUCAGAAGGCACCUGGGAGGCCCCAAGCAACCUCGCGGGGCUCGGGGGCCCCAACCGCCACCGUUCACGCGACCGGUUCUCCCGAGAACGCUCUCCCGCACACGCGCAACGACGCCCGCCCCAACACCCCCCGCGCGCCUCCCUCCUCCCCUUCCUCGGAGGACCGAGAGCACUUCGCCCGGGGACGCCCCCCCCCGAGCCACGGCGGCCAAGGGGGGGGGCAAGACACCCAACAGCGGCGAGGCCGGUUUCGGUCCACGGAGGGCGGAGUUAGGGGCGCGGCACGCGCGGCGCACCCGCGACCGUGCGGUCGGGGGACGCGGGCAGGCGGGGGGGCGGGGGGGGCGGGUCGGCGGCGACGGGGAGGAGGCGCACAGCGGGCGAGGGCCGGGAGAGCGCGUGGGGAAGGGCCGGUCCCGGGAAGGGCGCGCCAACGAAGGCGCGAGCCGGGCCACCGGGUAAACGCGCACGGGAUCCCACCGCCACCAGCACGAGGGCGGUCCCGUCCGAACCUCCGUCCGUCCAUCCGCCCGUCCGUCCAUCCGUCCGGUCCAACCCGGAGUCACGACCCGGGGAGGCGCCCCCAGGCGGGAGCUGGCCCGACCCACACGCGCCCGCCGAGCCACCGCCGGCGGCGACUCGGCUCGGGAGCGGGCGGCGGCCCAGACAGCCAGCCGGCCGCUAGCGCGGCACACACGCACACACACGGGGUGAGUGGCGUGGGGGGGGGCGGGCCGCCCCAACCCCCCGGCCGCGCGCACGCUCGCACACGCACGCGGGCAACACACCCCGCACCGGACGCCGGCCCGGCCCGGCGGGAUCCUCCCCCGUCUCGGAGGGGGGAGGCGCAGGCCGCGGUAGGUAGGCAAAGAGCGGCACUCUGCCCAAACACGUCGCGACGGGAGUCCAACCCCGCGUCGCUGGCCACACUACACGCGCAGAGGAGGGGCAGCGGCUGGGGGCUCCGGUACCCCAAGGCACCCUCUCGGAUCGCUAGAGAAGGCUUUCUCACCGAGGGCGCAUCGCCCCCACCCGUUCGUCCUCC
rnacentral:lncRNA from 1 species